UGCAAGUCGAACGGUAACAGGAAGAAGCUUGCUGCUUUGCUGACGAGUGGCGGACGGGUGAGUAAUGUCUGGGAAACUGCCUGAUGGAGGGGGAUAACUACUGGAAACGGUAGCUAAUACCGCAUAACGUCGCAAGACCAAAGAGGGGGACCUUCGGGCCUCUUGCCAUCGGAUGUGCCCAGAUGGGAUUAGCUUGUUGGUGGGGUAACGGCUCACCAAGGCGACGAUCCCUAGCUGGUCUGAGAGGAUGACCAGCCACACUGGAACUGAGACACGGUCCAGACUCCUACGGGAGGCAGCAGUGGGGAAUAUUGCACAAUGGGCGCAAGCCUGAUGCAGCCAUGCCGCGUGUAUGAAGAAGGCCUUCGGGUUGUAAAGUACUUUCAGCGGGGAGGAAGGGAGUAAAGUUAAUACCUUUGCUCAUUGACGUUACCCGCAGAAGAAGCACCGGCUAACUCCGUGCCAGCAGCCGCGGUAAUACGGAGGGUGCAAGCGUUACUCGGAAUUACUGGGCGUAAAGCGCACCCCGGCGGUUUGUUAAGUCAGAUGUGAAAUCCCCGGGCUCAACCUGGGAACU
rnacentral:rRNA from 1 species